CAUCGAACUUUCUGGAUCCUUCACUCGUCUCCUCGUCAGGCGGUCACGCAAUUCGCAGCAAGCAGGAUUAUACGAUAUGUGAGAUUCUUGCUGGUGCAGAUGGACAGCUUUGUAAUAGAGAAGUUGAAGGAAAGGCAGCUUGAUACCCUGGUUAAAACCUUUGAAGAUUUCACAAGACUUCAGGAAGCUACAUCCAGAGGCAGACUUUUUGUAGACUGGGCUACGAUUGCAGACAAAAUUGUUGCCGAUGCCCAGCAAGAUGGAAAGGUGCAUUAAGAGCGGGGUGA